AGCGAACGCUGGCGGCAGGCUUAACACAUGCAAGUCGAGCGGGCACUUUCGGGUGUCAGCGGCGGACGGGUGAGUAACGCGUGGGAACGUGCCCUCUGGUUCUGACUAUCUCAGUGAAACUUGUGCUAAUACCGGAUACGCCCUUUUGGGGUAAGGCUUGCUGCCGGAGUAUCGGCUCGCGUCUGUUUGGCUGUUUGGUAUUGUAACGUCACUCCAAGGCGACGAUGAGUAUCUGGUCUGGGAGGAUGAUAAGCCACACUGGGGCUGAGACGCGGACCCGACUCGUACGGAAGGGAGGAGAAGAGAAUAGUAGAGAAUGGGGGCAAGCCUGAUCAAGCCAGGCCGCGUAAGUGAUGAAGGGCUUAGGGUUGUAAAGCUCUUUUAUCCGGGACGAUAAUGACGGUACCGGAGGAAUAAGCACCGGCUAACUUCGUG
rnacentral:rRNA from 1 species